rnacentral:lncRNA from 1 species
ACUACUUAAAUCUUGAAAUUAUAUGGUGUAAGCUGUGGGUAAAACAAAUGGAAAAUUAAUACUAACUCAUAUUUUCAGUAUUCAAUCUACCCAUAACAGAUUAACAACACAACUUGUAAUUUUUGAAACAUAUCAUAGAUUUAACAUUAAUUAACAUAUUUACAAAUAACAUACCUUGAGAGAUAAACAAAUGAAAACCAAUAGCUCACACAACAGUUCCAUUAAAAUUCCGAUAUAAAAACUCAAAGUUUUAAAUACAACUUCAGAUUAAGUAAAUGCUGAAAUAAGUAACUGAAAGUACGAGCUAAAAAAAUAAGCUAGGAAGGCAGGACAUCUGAUAGAAAGAAAGCAUAAUCUUCAUUUCCUCUUCAUUAAAACAGCCCAUGAACUAUUUUCUACAUGCUCAAAUCAAGGAUAAGUACCUGUAAAAGCAAAGUAAAAUGAGAAACAGAGAAUCAGCAAAGCAGGACAGUAUCAGCAUGUUCAACAGCAGAAAUCAACACCAAAGCAACCAAAAAUAGCUCCAAAAUCCAGGAUGAUCGACAACAACUUAAUAUCUCAAACUCAGAACAAGUCAAGCAGCCUAACAGACCUCCAAACCCAACUUUGAUGAACAAUUAUAAACAAUUUCUCACCCAGAUGAAUUAAAAUAGUUUCAAAAGUUGAAAAUGAAUCAGAAUUACAGAAAAAAGUUAAUGAAACAGUAGCUUUUCAUUUAACUCUCAGACGCUAGUUUUUUGUGGAUUUUUCCUCUCUCAUUCUUUCCUUGAAAGGCAAGUUUAAUGUGCCUUUAUUGGCUAGCAAAGUAAGGCAGAUUUUAAGUUCUGAUGUUGCACUUUAGCCCUCCUUCCAAUUUUGGUUUUGCUUAAGAUACCUUAGGCUAAUUUUCAGAAAUUCAAGUAAGUCCC